CCUGCCGGGAUCGGGAUCGGCCCCGUCCCCAUCCCCGUCCCGGCCCCGCGGAGCCGCGGGCCCGAGGUAGCGACACCCCCUCGCAGGGCCGGGAAAAAACUCAAGAGGCUGAUGCAGAAGAAGCACCAACUGUUCAUGCUGUUGAGAUGUCCUGUAUUCCAUUGUUAAUGGAACCGUCACAUUCCAGCUCUGAGGUACAGGGAGCUGCAAAAAUGAGAAAUUAUGAUGCUGCCUCUAGACAUCUGGUUCCUCUUUCUGACGAUAAUGACAGUGAACAGUCAAAAUCUAUUCAAAGAAAGAGAGUGCUUCCAUCUUGGAUGCUGGAAGGAGAUCUCCUGGUGCAGAGGGUGUCUGAGCCCGUAAUGACAGCAGGUAGGUUUGCAGUGUGGUACAAUUGCAUUCCAAUAUGCAUUUCU
rnacentral:lncRNA from 1 species